UCGAACGAAGCACUCUAUUUGAUUUUCUUCGGAGAUGAAGAUUUUGUGACUGAUUGGCGGACGGGUGAGUAACGCGUGGGUAACCUGCCUCAUACAGGGGGAUAACAGUUGGAAACGACUGCUAAUACCGCAUAAGCGCACGGUACCGCAUGGUACCGUGUGAAAAACUCCGGUGGUAUGAGAUGGACCCGCGUCUGAUUAGCUAGUUGGUGGGGUAACAGCCUACCAAGGCGACGAUCAGUAGCCGACCUGAGAGGGUGACCGGCCACAUUGGGACUGAGACACGGCCCAAACUCCUACGGGAGGCAGCAGUGGGGAAUAUUGCACAAUGGGGGAAACCCUGAUGCAGCGACGCCGCGUGAGCGAAGAAGUAUUUCGGUAUGUAAAGCUCUAUCAGCAGGGAAGAAAAAAAUGACGGUACCUGACUAAGAAGCACCGGCUAAGUACGUGCCAGCAGCCGCGGUAAUACGUAUGGUGCAAGCGUUAUCCGGAUUUACUGGGUGUAAAGGGAGCGCAGGCGGUGCGGCAAGUCUGAUGUGAAAGCCCGGGGCUCAACCCCGGUACUGCAUUGGAAACUGUCGUACUAGAGUGUCGGAGGGGUAAGUGGAAUUCCUAGUGUAGCGGUGAAAUGCGUAGAUAUUAGGAGGAACACCAGUGGCGAAGGCGGCUUACUGGACGAUAACUGACGCUGAGGCUCGAAAGCGUGGGGAGCAAACAGGAUUAGAUACCCUGGUAGUCCACGCUGUAAACGAUGAAUACU
rnacentral:rRNA from 1 species